AUCUCAUUUUAGCAUAUAUAUACUAAACUUGGAAGAGUAUAGAAAUUAGCACACCCCUGUGCAAGGAUGACAACCAAAUUUAUGAGUUAUCCACAUCAUGG
rnacentral:snRNA from 1 species